rnacentral:rRNA from 1 species
GACGGAGGGCGCAAGCGUUGUUCGGAAUUACUGGGCGUAAAGCGCGGGCAGGCGGCCUGCUAAGUCGUUUGUGAAAAUCCGGGGCUCAACCCCGUGAAAUGCGUACGAUACUGGCAGGCUGGAGACCGGUAGAGGCUAGCGGAAUUCCUGGUGUAGCGGUGGAAUGCGUAGAUAUCAGGAAGAACACCUGUGGCGAAGGCGGCUAGCUGGGCCGGUUCUGACGCUCAUCCGCGAAAGCGUGGGGAGCAAACAGG